rnacentral:rRNA from 1 species
AUGCUAUACAUGCAGUCGAGCGAACAGAGAAGGAGCUUGCUCCUUUGACGUUAGCGGCGGACGGGUGAGUAACACGUGGGCAACCUACCUUAUAGUUUGGGAUAACUCCGGGAAACCGGGGCUAAUACCGAAUAAUCUGUUUCACCUCAUGGUGAAAUAUUGAAAGACGGUUUCGGCUGUCGCUAUAGGAUGGGCCCGCGGCGCAUUAGCUAGUUGGUGAGGUAACGGCUCACCAAGGCGACGAUGCGUAGCCGACCUGAGAGGGUGAUCGGCCACACUGGGACUGAGACACGGCCCAGACUCCUACGGGAGGCAGCAGUAGGGAAUCUUCCACAAUGGGCGAAAGCCUGAUGGAGCAACGCCGCGUGAGUGAAGAAGGAUUUCGGUUCGUAAAACUCUGUUGUAAGGGAAGUAUAUGUACAGUAGUAACUGGCUGUACCUUGACGGUAG